GGAAAGAUGGACACGUGGCACUCGGGCAGCACAUGGGGAGCAGGUGGCAGACUCAGCAGGGUGUGCAGAGACAGGGCAGAGAGGCAUCAGCUCCUGAUGUUUACAGAGGGCAAGCUGUUCCCUUCCCAGUCAAGGAAGGCUCCAGAGGUCUCCUGCGAGAGGCCAGCCAGCACACUCAGGAUGCCCCGCACACUCUGCUCCACUGUCAGCGGCGCCUGCAGAAGAGGACCAGGUGCAGUGUCCCUGCCACGGGCUGUGGCCAGCAUGGAAAGCAGCCAGGCUUGGCCAGGCUGGGGGAGCAGCACCCAGGGUGCUUGUGGGGGCAUUUUUCCUUACUGCCACCCCCCUCCUCUCUGUGCUGGGCAAGGUGGACAGGGCUGGCUAUCCCAUGCAUUUGGCACGUUGCAACUUGCUGCCUGUUCCCUGCCUGCUCUGCCCCAGGAGAUGGUCCCAGCAGCCCACAGCAUCACACAACAUCCCCUGCCCUCCCUGAGAGAUGGGGGUACAGCGGGGGACCUGCUGGCCCUCCUCUGCACAGCCCAGUACCUUCUCCGUCCCCAUGUCGGUUUUCACCCAGCCGGGAUGGAUGGCAGUGCACAAGAUGCCCUGGUCUCGGAGUUCUGCAGCCAUGCACCUUGUUACCAUGUUCUGGGCAGCCUGGAAGAGGCACCACUGUGCCAGCAUGACCCAGGGCAUGGGUGGGCAGGAUGGGGGACAUUUCCAAGCCAGAAAAUGGCUGUGAAGGUGGGAAAUGGGACUUUGCUCUGGGGUAAAGCAUCAACACAACCCA